ACCUUUUAUUUUCCAGUUCAUAGGCUGAUUCUGGAUGCUUUAGCAGGGAAGGCAUGAAAUCUUGGGUUUUCUUCUGGCUUUGCUACCGGACCAUCGUGUGGCCUUGGGUACAUUCCCAUCCUACCCUUUGAGUGCUUUGAUCUGUCACACUUUAAACUCCCCAUAGUACGGACUGUUUCCUACAUUGUGUUUGUAUCAUACUCAGCUCAGUGGGGUCCUGAUACGAUUGGAAAUUUAAUAUGGCAUCAAUAUUUUAUCUCCAGUCACUACACUAUGCACCAACUCAGUUUACUCCUUUACUGCUAGUAGCCCAAAUACAUGUAUGAGUCAAAGCCCAGACUGCUCAAGCUGAGAUAAGCUAAUUACCCUAUUAAAACAGGUAUCUAGAUGAUCUGUUCUGAGGGAAAUGUUGGGCCUUUGUUGUAAGGGCUGGCAGCGAGGAGCUGAGAGUGCAUGUAGGGUGUGCAGAGUAGCAUCUGUGUGUCGUGUGGACUGGCCAGAAAAAAUACUCAAGGUCUCCCUUUGCCUACUGUUACAGGUCUGGGGAAAAAAAAGAAACAGGACUCAGGUGGAGAAUGAAUGCUUUGAAGAGGUUUCCACCCCAUAACCUAAGUCAUGGUCCCUGCCUGCACACCAGCCUUCUCCACAAUACAGAUCCUACAGCCUGCAGAUGCUUGGGCCAAAUGCUCCUACCUGUGUGCACGCCUCUUUGGGUUUGCUGUCGCAUUGACAACACUGACUAUUCAUGGAAAAGUGUGGAUUCAGACACAAGGAGGCAGAUACCAAAACCACAAUAGGGGCUGUGGGAGUCUCGUCCCUCUUUGAACAUCUGAACUGGUGGGCAGCUACAUUCCCUGGGAAGAGGAGCCCACAAGGACAACCAGAAGCCAAACUGAAGGCAGGAUUCAAAUCUUCUUCACUCCAUACAUGUUGGUCCACAUCGAGGGGAUGUCAUGGCAACAGCUCAUCCUAAUUCUGUUUGCUUUGGAAGGGAGUCUGGGGGUCUCCCAGGACCUCCUCGUUCAUUUUGUGGACCCAAAUCAUCACUUACACAGAAGUCAUCUUGCAGAAAAUAUAACCUGAAAGCUUCAGAGGGACACACCCGCUGGCUGAUCUAGCACCAACAGACACACAGCUCCAGCCUCAGCACCAAGGUGACCGGUGUAACGUGCUUUUAUUGUGUGCUACCGAGGAGCCAAGCCCAGGUAUUGGUAAAUAAGGUCAUCUGCAAGCUAACUGCAUUUUUAGUGUGAUUGCAAAAUUACAGGAGGUAGAUUACAGUCAUCCAGAUAUAUGCUGUUCUGUCCUUCUGAUUUUUAUUUACCUUUUCUUCUACUUUAGUUAGGUUUUACCGGAAGGAGAAGGAAGGAGGACAUCUGACUUGAGUAAGACGAACUACUUCAUCUUAGUGAGAAGUUACCUGGAAACCUUUAUCAGUCUCUAAAAAUAACCCACCUUUGGAUUCCUCUGGCUAUCCUGGGCUAUCUUCUCCUUCCUCAUAAAAAGUGGCUAUCCGGAGUAAUUUUUUCUUAAGGAGGAACAUCACACUAGGCUUUCUAUUCUGCACUCUAAACAAACAGUAACUUUCAAGUCAUCCCUGUCCAUAAUUUCACACGCUUUUCAGUGUACUAGAGCAUCAUGAAGAAUAUCAUAAGCCACAGCGUGUGACACGGUUGCUGUACACAACGGUCUGCUUUGCAGACAUCCCUUACCAAAAAUCCGCUUUGAAGUCAAGAGGAGAUCCACGUGGACAAUAGAUGCCCACUAUACGUGUGACCCACCAGUCGUAAAAUAGCUGCUGGAAUUUCCCUAAAUGAGUCAGACAAUUUCUCCUCAAAUAUAUCUUGAUUCUUAAGCGUUUUUUCUUAGCCCUCUGGUGUGUGGGUUACACAGACCCUAAGGGAUACUCAUUAUUCAUUAUGCUCACUCUCUUAAACUUCACAUCUGGGUUGCCACAACGACCUCCCAGUACAAGCUCUGGGUCCCUGGAAACAUCAGUACAGCUGCAGUUGGGAUCUUCACCUCAACCUCCUCCCUUUCACCUGGCUACAGUAUAUUGCAUCGCAUCCAACCAACAAAAAUCCCGUGUAUCAGCAGGGCCAAUGACUGGGACCGAACUGAGUGAAGAAAGAAACAUUUUUUGGUGUCUGCUUUCACCAUUUUAAUUGACUUCUCCUUUCAUUUGUUCCCCUUCUGUGCCCUCUGACUGUAAGCGUUCAAGCAGCUGUAGUAACCCCCAGGAAAAAAAAAAAUAGUUGUGCUAAAUGAGAUUUUUAUGUGUGGGUGUUUAAGUAUCGGCGGGAAGCAAAUUUCUACCCUCUCCUCAUCAGAAUGGGAAUGAGACCAUGUGAGUGAUGUGACCAAUUACCACCGAGCACCCCAGAGCAGCUUCUGAAUAUUCACAUCCAAUUGCUGCUUUGGUGGAACAAUUGGUUUGAACGGUUUGAAAAGGCAAUGAUGUCAAAUGUGCGGCGUGAUUAAACGCAGCGAAAUUACCAGCCGUUGAGCUGAAAAAUAAGCUCUGUUUCCUUCCCAGGGUAAUUCUGCUUUCAAAUUUUGCGCUAACGGGAGCAGGAAGCACCUGAAUCCAUCAGGGUAAAGGUGCAGCUGAGUUUUGGAGGCAGCAUGGACUGGGACACGCGUCGAAGCUUUGAUAUGGGUGCAGCGAGUCAAAUGCCUCCUCUUCACCCUGAUCCUCAUGCAGAACCACACUUCUACCCCAGGUAGAACAACACAGCAGCACCUUUUGUAAGCAUACAGUGACGCAAAAUGUAAUUCGAAUCAAAGAUUUUUAGGGCCAAAUAUCUGGGAGUUGAAUUGUCCCGAUAAAUGGCAAAGGCUACGCAUGUUCCACCAAUAUCAGCUGGAUCUGGGAGCUCUUCUGCUUUCUGUACAGACAAGGAACAUGCUAAACACACAGUCCUGCUGCUUGGCUCAAGCCUAUUUCUGUCAUCACUGAAAAUGGCCUGCAUUAUUUUAAAAAAUAAAUCAUUGAUUCCCUCAUUCAUCUCUCCCCUGUUUUAAAAAUGCAUAUACCAUACGUUACAGUUCAGUACUAGCCCCGAUUUUAUGACUGAGUCAUACAGAUCCAAGCAUUAGGAGAAACAGAAUUUCUUUAUUGUAGUGCUCAGAGAAGUGUGCGGUUCCCAGAUGGCAGAAGGGAGCUGGGAGCACACAUGAGGAGAAAAAAAAAGUAAUACAUCCUCCAGGAUCAUAUCUUAUGCCGAGCCCUUGUCAGAGAGAGGCAGCACAGAAACGCUGCCCAUCUCCAGCUGCUCAGGUUUGGGGCCAGCUCUGAAAACAAUUUCUCUCUUCCUAGUCCUCUUUGGGGAAGGUGAUUGUGCAUAUUCUGUAGAAAAAAAUUGUUUUUUUCUUAACAAGAGACUCCCACACAUUUUGUGACUGCGCAAAAGGCUUCUUAAACAUGACGCAGGCAGCUAAAAUAGGGAAAUAGCCGGUAUAAAAUUUGCCCUGAAACUAGGGAACUUCUCCUUUCUUGUUUCCUACCCAGAGAUCUGAGCUAAUUUUCCCUAUCCAUAGGCUCCCUCCACCUCGUCAAAAAAAAAAAAAAAAAAAAAAAGACGGAGGGGUGUGUGGGGGGAGACUGUAUUCACUAAUUAUACAUCCUGAAAAGAAUUUGGUUCAGUGUAAGAUGAUCCUAGUGAUAUGCUAAUCCUUUUUUCUGCUUGGUGCAGCCUGAAGCCUGUGUCUAACAUUUUUUUCAACUGUAUGACAAUAAAAGUUGUGACAACAAAAGAAAUAAAUGGGCAGCUAAAGAAGGUAUAGCUGAAACACAUGGCAGACCAGUUCUCUCCUCUCCUUCUGGCUGCUCUUUUGUAGGCUCUGGUUUGGUAUCCUCAAGUCAAUAGCCGAAAGCCAGCCACCUUAGCAACUUAGUAUGACACCCAAGCCCUCUCUCUUUACAUUCAUGAAUAGUCAGCAAGCAGCAGACAAAAUAGAACUAAUCUUUUUUGACAGAAUUGUUCAAUUUUAGAGGAAAGGCUUUUGAGGCACCUUCCAUACAUUUGCAGAAUAUGAGACAACAAUGGCCACCAUCACAUUUUCACAAAAGGACGACCAGGGGUGUGAGCGCGCACACACAACGGCCAUUUCGAUAAAAUAUUGUAGCCAAGUUCAAGCGAUUGCAGGAUAUGCCCAUUGUUAGGGGGAAAGCUGGCAGGCAAGAAAAAAAAUAAAUACGUUAUAAAAAAAAAAAAUCUCCAUUGUUUUGUUGCUGAUUAUUAAACAUACACAUCCUGAUAACGUGUGAUUAGGUUUAUUUGUCUUGAUUAACCAAAGUUAAGAGAGCUGAUUAAUAUCCACUCUUUAAUUUCCUGUCAUAGGCUGAUAACUUAAUCUUUUUUUUUUUUUUUCCUUUUUUGGACCAAUGAUUCUUAUUGUGAAAUGCAUUCAAUCCAGCAGGUUCUCGCCUGCAUUUAAAAGCUGGUUUUGCCAUUUCGAAAUCCUGUAAUACAGCAGCCACUCACAAGUCUAGUAUGUGCAAAGAAGGACAUUCCUCUUUUUUCCCUUCUCUCCCCUCCUUUUAAUGCAAGCCAUAUCUCCAUCUCCAAAUACAGUUUGAACAAGGAAGACAAGGAAAUAAUAAUAAUAAUAAUAAUAAUAGUAAUAAUAGUAAUAAUAAUAAUAAUAAUAAUUUAAAAAUUUACCCAGUCUAUGGGCAAAACCAGAAGUUAGCAACAUGGUCCAUGCAGCUGCAACACUACAUUUAAAAUUCAGUUUACUCCUAGGAAGAGGGCUAAUCCUGCCCCUGUAAUUCCCUACAGCCAAAAUGUACCCCCCUCCCUGAGUGACAGUGCAAUGCAAAGACACUCGCACGCUUAUCUUCCCCAACCAGAUGGCCGACUUGGAUCAAUGCACACACGCCACGAUCAAUGGGAGCGAUAAAGAAUUAGGAAAACAGUGGUACAUGCUCCCAGAAAGCUUGUACACUGCAUAAUUAUUUUAUGAUUCUACACAUGGCUACAUGUGAUACUGGAGUCAAGAAGGAAAAGGAUAAUUAGAGAGCCAGAAAGCACCCGUACUGCACUACACACUUUGUCAGUCAGCAGUUCCCACUCGGCUCAACUCACUGCCGUUAUCUCCUCUCCUGCCCCCUUGCAAAUGAAUUUAGGGAAUAUGUAAAAUAUUAGGGGGAGGCGGCUUCUGGGUUACAGAGACGGGAUACAGGAGAUUAUCGUGUCCUGUGAUAUGACAGCAAAAGUUUUUGUCUGAGGGAUUGGGUGGACUGUGAGAGCACUGCUUGGGGAGCAGAGCUUGGGGUGGCAUCUGCGGGACACGGGGGUACCUGCCACGAGAGGGGCGUGCAUCUAAACUCUUCUCGGGCUUUGCUGGGAGAGGGACGUAUCCACGGCCAUUCAAUAAAAUAUAGCUGUAUACGUUAGUCUGUGGGCUUGGGUUUGUUUUUUUUUUUUUCCUCCUUUCCUCCCGGCAGCAAUUUUGUGAUUGGCUCCUUGUAUCCAGCCUAUUUGCCACCACGCCGCCAAGCAGAAAAGAAGGGGGAGGAAAGAACUGCCCCCACCAAACUGAUCGAAUGACACAGAAUAAAUAUCAAAGCGCUGGAUGGUUACGACUGGGAAUCUGGAUGCCAAAGAGCACAUGACCAAGAUUAGGGAGCAGAACAAUGCCAGGCAGAAAGCUGCCCUUGGUGGCGAGAAAUCCCCAUGCUAAGCACUUUGCAAAAACACCUCGUCACCGCCUGACGCCACCAGCGUGUCCUUGCCCUGCCAGCACCCGGUGUAAUACCACCCCGAAAUUGCUGAUGGGGACAGAGGAAGGUCAAGGAGAUGGGCUGCCAUCAGCAUCAGAGGGAAAGACGGGGCACCCUUGUCCCUGUGAGGGCCCCCCAUGGACGGCACCUUCCUGCAGGCCAUCGGGCAGGUGUUGGGACCUGGGCUCAUGGCAUGGUGUUGCCGUGCCUAGGGGGAGCGGGGUAGGAAAUACCCAAAAAGGAUUAUUGAGAGUUCACUCACCGACCAGCCAAGGAGCAGAGGGGUGUGAUGGAGAGCUGGAGCUCAGAGGGGAGCAGGGUAAGCAUCACCAUCCCCUCCACGGCUGCCUUUCCUCCUGGGGGUUCAGUGCACACUGCAGAGGUGUCACCCUUGGAGACCACGGUCCAGAGACUCCUGCCCAGGUCCUUCUGCAGGGAUGUGGCAGAGGGGCUCACCCUGCAUCUCCUCAACCGUGUCCCAGCCUGCUCUCCCAGCAUAAAUCAGGGCCAAACAGCACCUUUCAGUUAAAUAAGUGAAUAAUUGUCGUGGUGACAUGUUUGGAAAUUUUAAAUUCUAAAGUUUAAAAUAGGUGAGUUGGGGUCUCUCCUGCUGGCAUUUGACUUAAAUUAAAAUCAGAGCCCAGAGCUCUUGCCUGGACAUGUGGAGCAAAAUGUCUCUGAUGCACAUUCAGGCUUAAAGUCACCGCAAAAAGAUCUGCCCUUCACUCUUCUCCUCCUUUCAAACACAGGUGACUGCAUGGGCAAAGGCACAGCAAACUGCAGUGGCUUCACUCGUAGAAACUGCCACUGUGAACAUAUCUAUGAGGCUGGACUGGUGACCAGAGAUCCUCCAUGCAUGACAAGUCACUCACCAGAUCAAGUUACUGCAGCUCCCGUCCCAAACACACAUUUCCGCUUGUUCAUAAACGUUCCCCAUCAUACUCGGUCUCAACUCAAAACACCCAUUGGUUUGCCCAGCUAUGUUUUGCUCCACACAUGUACAUAAGAAAGGUGAGAAAGACAUGGCAUAGCUUGGGUCAAUUUAAGCAAACAUCCUCCACUGCCGAUUCAGGAAUCAUGUAGUGCCAGUUGUGCUAUGAGGAAAAACAUUCAGGCAGUGUUGCCUGCAAGCAUCUCUCUGGGAGCUGAGCAGCGCAAGUGGGUCUGACUGGGAUGGGGAUGAAUCCUGGUGGAUUGGUGAGGUGAGACACACAAUGAUAUUAACUCACUUGUGUCUUCAUCUCUACUCUUCCGGAGGCUGGUGACAUCUGCAAGGAUGCAGAUAAAGCCGAUGCUUAGAGGCAUGUCUACAACAAGAGGCACUCAUAUCUCGCUCAAGGGACCACCUCGUUUGGCUUCUUGAAGGAUUUAUAGUCCUGGCCAACUGUGCGUGGCACCUCACCAACCCACUCUGAUGGGUGUGUAACCUUCCCUGGCAUGGCCUGGAUGUCACUGUCAGAGCAGAAUUAUUCAACCUGAACAGUUAUGCAUUGCCCUUGGUCUUGGAGAGACAGCUUUCCUGGAGGAGAUAGACACUGUGUAAGUGAAGUGCCAUUAGUUUGACCACUAUGGCUGUUUCAGCUUCUUAAUCAAAAUGUUUCUAUAAAAAAAACCCCACAACUUUUUGGACAGAUAUGUAA